CCCCGGUAAACGGCGGCCGUAACUAUAACGGUCCUAAGGUAGCGAAAUUCCUUGUCGGGUAAGUUCCGACCUGCACGAAUGGCGUAAUGAUGGCCAGGCUGUCUCCACCCGAGACUCAGUGAAAUUGAACUCGCUGUGAAGAUGCAGUGUACCCGCGGCAAGACGGAAAGACCCCGUGAACCUUUACUAUAGCUUGACACUGAACAUUGAGCCUUGAUGUGUAGGAUAGGUGGGAGGCUUUGAAGUGUGGACGCCAGUCUGCAUGGAGCCGACCUUGAAAUACCACCCUUUAAUGUUUGAUGUUCUAACGUGGACCCGUAAUCCGGGUUGCGGACAGUGUCUGGUGGGUAGUUUGACUGGGGCGGUCUCCUCCUAAAGAGUAACGGAGGAGCACGAAGGUUGGCUAAUCCUGGUCGGACAUCAGGAGGUUAGUGCAAUGGCAUAAGCCAGCUUGACUGCGAGCGUGACGGCGCGAGCAGGUGCGAAAGCAGGUCAUAGUGAUCCGGUGGUUCUGAAUGGAAGGGCCAUCGCUCAACGGAUAAAAGGUACUCCGGGGAUAACAGGCUGAUACCGCCC
rnacentral:rRNA from 1 species